GAUCCUGGCUUAGGAUGAACGCUAGCUACAGGCUAACACAUGCAAGUCGAGGGGUAGCAGGGUAGCAAUACCGCUGACGACCGGCGCACGGGUGAGUAACACGUAUCCAACCUUCCCAUAACUCAGGGAUAGCCUUUCGAAAGAAAGAUUAAUACCUGAUAGUACUUUUUCUAAGGCAUCUUGAGAAAGUUAAAGAUUUAUUGGUUAUGGAUGGGGAUGCGUUCCAUUAGAUAGUUGGUGAGGUAACGGCUCACCAAGUCUUCGAUGGAUAGGGGUUCUGAGAGGAAGGUCCCCCACAUUGGUACUGAGACACGGACCAAACUCCUACGGGAGGCAGCAGUGAGGAAUAUUGGUCAAUGGGCGAGAGCCUGAACCAGCCAAGUAGCGUGAAGGAUGAAGGUCCUAUGGAUUGUAAACUUCUUUUAUAGUAGAAUAAAGUGAUCCACGUGUGGAUUUUUGUAUGUAUACUAUGAAUAAGGAUCGGCUAACUCCGUGCCAGCCGCAGC
rnacentral:rRNA from 1 species